rnacentral:ncRNA from 1 species
CUAGCCUUGAGUCGUCACUGCCAAAUCAGUGAUCGGGUUUAGCAGCCCGGAGU